GUGCCAGCCGCCGCGGUAAUACGUAGGUGGCAAGCGUUGUCCGGAUUUACUGGGCGUAAAGCGUAUGUAGGCGGAUUUUUAAGUAGGAAGUGAAAGGUUGGUGCUCAACACUAACACUGCUCCCUAUACUGGAAGUCUUGAAGGCCGGAGAGGAAAGCGGAACGAGUCGUGUAGCGGUGAAAUGCGUUGAUAUGACUCGGAACACCAAUGGCGAAGGCAGCUUUCUGGACGGUAGGUUUACCUUUAAAUUUGACGCUGAGAUACGAAAGCGUGGGGAGCGAACAGGAUUAGAUACCCUAGUAGUCC
rnacentral:rRNA from 1 species